AGGCACUGUCACUGUCAGCCCAGCCUGCAUGGGGGGUGACCUCUAGCAAUUCCACAUAUUCAUCCAGCAAGUGUAAAACUUGACGGUUAUAGUCCAAUGGAUGCAGCAAAUAGCUACACCUCGAGAGCCUUGCGAUGCUCUAUGCCAAGUUCCAACCUAGCAAUCGAGCCACUGAUCUCGUCCUCAUAGCCCGAAACAUAUACAAGC
rnacentral:lncRNA from 1 species